UAAGGUAUAGCUUAAAUAUAAAAAAGCAUAGCUUUGAAGAAGCUAAGAUAUUUUUUUAUUACUUUAG
rnacentral:tRNA from 1 species